rnacentral:rRNA from 1 species
UACGUAGGGGGCAAGCGUUGUCCGGAUUCAUUGGGCGUAAAGAGCGUGUAGGCGGCCAGGUAGGUCGGUUGUGAAAACUGGAGGCUCAACCUUCAGACGUCGACCGAAACCAUCUGGCUAGAGUCCGGGAGAGGAGGAGUGGAAUUCCUGGUGUAGCGGUGAAAUGCGCAGAUAUCAGGAAGAACACCCGUGGCGAAGGCGGCUCUCGUGGGACGGUACUGACGCUGAAGACGCGGAAAGCGUGGGGAG